CAAUAGCGUAUAUUUAAGUUGUUGCAGUUAAAAAGCUCGUAGUUGGAUUUCGGAUGGGAUUUGCCGGUCCGUCGUUACGAUGUGCACUGGCCAGUCCUAUCUUGUUGUCGGGGACUAGCUCCUUGGAUUCACUUCCUGGGACUAGGAGCUGACGAGGUUACUUUGAGUAAAUUAGAGUGUUCAAAGCAAGCCUACGCUCUGAAUACAUUAGCAUGGAAUAACACGAUAGGACUCUGGCUUAUCUUGUUGGUCUGUGAGACCAGAGUAAUGAUUAAGAGGGACAGUCGGGGACAUUCGUAUUUCAUUGUCAGAGGUGAAAUUCUUGGAUUUAUGAAAGACGAACUUCUGCGAAAGCAUUUGUCAAGGAUGUUUUCAUUAAG
rnacentral:rRNA from 1 species